CUUAGAAAUAGAAACUAAUAAGACAGGAAAUCGAAGUAGCGACGUUACAGAGAAAGAAUUAAUAAGACGGAAAGUCGAAGAGGCACACGUUACGGGAAAGGAAUUAAUGAGACGGAAAGCCGAAGAGGCAGACGUUACAGGAAAGAAAUUAAUGAAACGGAAAGCCGAAGAGGCGGACGUUAUGAGGAAGGCGAACAAUCGUAAUGAUUGGAGAGUAGAAAUUUUGAGAAGGGGAGACUAUGGUGCUGCCACAUGGCAAAAGAUUAUAAGAAAUAAUGUAUGUGUAUAGAUAUAGAUAAUCGAUAAGAGUAAAAUUGAUAUUUUGUAACUAUGACGGUCAUUUUAGAUGGAGAUCAACCACUUGGGUAUUCAUGAUAUCCUUGAUCAUUUAAGAGGACAUGCUUGAUGUUUUGAAGUCUCUUAAGAUCAUGUGCAUGACACACUAUCAAAACGAUUGUCUAAUUGAUAAUUUUGAUUGAGGUCUCUUAAGAUCAUGUGUAUGACACACAAUCAAAACAGUUGUCAAAUCAAUAAUUUUGAUUGAGGAGAAAAAUCUAUUAAAAUAUUUCAUAAAGUUUAAAAAGUUUAGUUGCCAGAAUUAAAAGUUGAAGGGGCUAUUUGGUUCACCAGAAAAAUAUGGGAAAAAAAUUUCAAAAAAUUUAAUUUUUCAGGAAAAAGUUCUUUUUCAAUUUUUCGCCCAUUGGAGAAGGACAAUAAUUUUUAUAAAAACUUAAAAUACCCCCCCGUAGUUUCGUGCUUUCUUACUUUAGAACCGUGUGGGUUAAAAUAUACCACUUUAGUACCCUGUGCUUUUAUUUUUCUCCUUCUAUUAUUUCCUAUAUUAAUUUUUCUGUGCUUUUAUUUUUCUCCUUCUAUUAUUUCCUAUAUUAAUUUUUUCGUUAAAUCAGUGACAAAAUUAAAACCAUAGGGUAUUAAAGUAAAAAUUUGGUAAACCACAGGGUACUAAAGUGAAUAUUUUAUAAAUCCUAGGUAAGGUAUCUGAAACUUUUUAUAUAUGAUUCAACGAAAAAUUAACGGAAGUACUGACGGAAAAAGAAAAAUGAAACCACGGAAUACUAGAAUGAUACACUUUAAAUCAUAGGGUAUUAAAAUAAAAAAAAAACACAAAACCACAAAGAUAGUAUUUGAAGUUUUCCCAUAAUAUUUUAUGAAAAUAUUUUUUUUUCUAUAUUUUAUAAAAAACUAGCAUUUUUGUUUUCUUUUUUUAGAAAAUCAAAAAUACUAGUUUUUCAUGAAUAAAUGAUGAAAAAGAACUUUUUAUAAAAAUUUAUUUUCUUAGAACCAAAUGAAUGAAAAACUGAAAAAAAUAAUUUUUCAUAAAAAAUAUCUUUUAAAAAAAAAAAUUCUACGCUUUUUCGAUGAAUCAAACACCUCCUUAAAAGUCUAUUUAUUAAAUGGCUAAAAAUUACAUAAAUUUUUUUUUUAUAAAUACUCGCUUUUUUACUUUUCCUCUCUAACUAUCAAAAAUCUAUAUGAAUAUCAUUGGACUUUUACAGGGAUAAGAGUUAAAAGUUGAAAUUCGUAGUAAUAUAUUUGUUAUUCGCUAUGUUUAUAAGAAGCUGUAUGCAAUUUACUGCGGUCAUCUCUUCUACCGUGCCAUUUUUUUCACGGUGGCCACCUCUUCCACCUCACCACUCUACUAUUCUCCGAGAAUCCAGCCUACAUCGAAUCAGGAAAUGUUCAUUUACGGUCUUUAUAAAUAUAAAACUUUUAUUAAUUUUGUAUUACAAAACUUUAAAAGAGGAUAAGAUACUUUUAUGUAAUAUACUUUAUGCUUUUUAAGACUUUAUAUUAUUUAUUAUAUAUCAUGAUAUUUCAAAUAACAAAUUAUGUUAUGAUCCUUUAAAAAUUAUAUAUAUGUAUUUUGCAUUUGAAAAAUAUAGCAAAAAAAAGAAAAAAAAUUUUUAUGAAACCGCAUAGUCGCCCCCCCGCCCGUAGACGGGUAUGAGUAUAGAUGUUGGUUUUCCAAAAAUUUACGAAUAAAUUUUAUCCAUAUUCAUAUGAUUUGUGGGUAUAAUAACCCAUCCGCGAUUUACCUAGUCCCUCGUUUGCAAGAUCUAACUACUGGUCUAAUUUAAAACUGUUGUUAAAUGAGGGUGAAAAAUAUUGAUGGUAAUUUCACAAACACUUGGUGUGCAAUUUCAUAACCCACUCUAUACAAGCAUCAAAUGAAAAGCCAAAUACAAGAGCAAUAAUAAAAUAAAUAAAACUACAAGAACACAAGGAUUUACGCGGUUCAACUAUAUGCCUACAUCCGCGGGAGAACAAUGCAAAAGAAACUUUCACUCUAAAGUUGAAGAUUACAAGAGAAAUUCAAAUGGGAGAAAUAUCACCUUGACACCAAGGUAUAAAAGAGAGCUCCAACAAUCUCUAGCUCUACCCAAAUGAUAUAAACCACACCUCACAAGGAAGAUCUCACCUCCUUCUUGAUAAAACUAAGAUCAAAACCAAACUCUAAGGUUUUUUCUCUUUUCUCCAACUUCUUUUUACACUCUCUAUUUCUCUCUCUUCUUUUCUCUAAUAUUCUAAUGUCCUACUUUAGCUCUUAAGAGAAGAAGCUAUCAAUAUGGACCUUUGGGUCAAAAGAACAUGAUCCAAAGGCUUACAAAUAGGGAGCCCACAUACAUAAUAAGAAAAUAUAGAAAAAGGAGAUUUUGACUUUACCAAAUUACAUAACCCAAAUAGUAAGGCGAAAUAACAAAUAGGCCCAAUGUAAUUCGCUCAACAAUCUCCCACUUGAAGGCCAAUCUCCAUCUUUCAAAUAAGUAAUCUUCAUCCAUCAAAUAAGCUUUAUCACAAUGUAUUGUUCUCCAACCACUCUAUCUACAUCUCGAUCAAUCCGUAGUGCUUCAUAUAAAAUAUGAGCUUUUC
rnacentral:lncRNA from 1 species